rnacentral:rRNA from 1 species
GACAGAGGGUGCGAACGUUGUUCGGAAUUACUGGGCGUAAAGCGCGUGUAGGCGGCAGCGUAAGUCGGGCGUGAAAUCCCACGGCUCAACCGUGGAAGUGCACUCGAAACUGCGCAGCUAGAGUCCUGGAGAGGAAGGUGGAAUGCUUGGUGUAGAGGUGAAAUUCGUAGAUAUCAAGCGGAACACCGGUGGCGAAGGCGGCCUUCUGGACAGUGACUGACGCUGAGACGGCGAAAGCGUGGGGAGCAAACAGG